rnacentral:rRNA from 1 species
CAAUAGCGUAUAUUUAAGUUGUUGCAGUUAAAAAGCUCGUAGUUGGAUUUUGGGUCGGGGGCACCGGUCCGCCGUUCCGGUGUGCACUGGUGGCCCCUUCCUUUCUGCCGGGGACGUGCGUCGCACUUAAUUGGGUGGCGUUCGGAGUCGGCGUUGUUACUUUGAAAAAAUUAGAGUGUUCAAAGCAAGCCAUCGCUCUGAAUACAUUAGCAUGGAAUAACAUGAUAGGACUCCGGUCUUAUUUUGUUGGUUUCCGAGACUGGAGUAAUGAUUAAGAGGGACAGUCGGGGGCAUCCGUAUUUCAUUGUCAGAGGUGAAAUUCUUGGAUUUAUGAAAGACGAACUUCUGCGAAAGCAUUUGCCAAGGAUGUUUUCAUUAG